UCUGGAAGACAGGCGGAAUGUGGUUUUGAGUCUGUCGUGGUGUUCCUGUUACGGUCCCUUGGGCCCCGCAGUGUACUGUGCAACCUUCCAAGAAGGUCUGUGAUCCAUGCUGCCUGGACAGUGUCCUUCUUUUUCAAAAUAGAGGCCCAUCCAGGACUGGACGUGAUGUGUGUCAAACCACCAGCAGUUAUUGUUUUUGGUACCCAGUCAUCAUAUUGCCACACCCAUUUCUAGCUCGAGGGCAUCUUUGAAGCUUUGAAGGAAGAAAUUUUUUUUCUCUUGUGAUUAUUAUUAAUUUUUUUUACUUCAGAUUAGACUUUCCGGACCAUUAUGAAAUCUAUAAAAACCAAGGGCACCAGGAGUAACAGCCGAAUAUAGAAGUUACAAUUGUUUCCGACAAAUUUAGAGGUCAGGCAAAAACAAAUGAUGCUAUCAAGGUAAAAGAGGAUUUGAACAUAGUUGGAGUGCCGGAGACAGAUGCCAGGUGCUGAUGAAGCUGAUUUUUUAAAGUACACUGACUGCGGCAUCCUGAUGGAGCUGAUCCUGGUGGAGCUGAUCCUGAUGGGGCUGAUCCUGAUGGGGCUGAUCCUGAUGGAGCUGAUCCUGGUGGAGCCAGGCGCAGCAGGAAGACUAAGCAUUAUGAAUCUGUGCGUUAUGGUUACAGAGCUAUGGAACAGGUUCCGAAUUACACAAUGCUAUUGACAGAAUCCGAUGGUAUUUAAAAGCCAGAUGAGUACAAAAGUCUGCCUAUGGUUGUGUGUCUGUCUCUGAGUCUCCUGUGCUACCGUGUUUAAUGUCACGACUUGUACCUUGUAUGUUUUCUUUGUGGUUUUGUUGUUUAUUUUGUAUCAGUUUCUUUUCUCUUCCCACUCCAUCCCUUUCUUACGCAAUAAUAUGCAUUCAUCUGCACAUUUACACACCUUCUCCUGUACGAGAAUGUCAUUCCUGGUGUUAAAGCCAAAAAACAAUACAAUUCAAUUGUUUUAAACCUUUUGAAAUAGUGCUUUUUGUUUUCCUCCAACUCUUUGUAAUGUGAAUCUCCUACACAGAGCCCUUUACUCGAACUCCUGGGCAAACAGGAAUCUGUGUAGAAGUGCACAGGAAUUUUUGAAAUAUCUUACGGCCUAAAAGACUAGAGGUCAUGUGAGUGAGUAUGUAUCCUGCCAUAAACAGAAAAUAUUAACGAUUUGUAUUUUUUCGUUUCUUUACGGACGUGUAAUUGCAUGCUUGCUAUUUAUAGAGCAGUACAAAGCUGCUAAUUAAACGAAGUCCUUAUUAGCAUGCUUGUGAAGGGUAUGGUGGCUCAGUGAUUGGCAGUGUUGCUUCCCACUUCCACUGUCGGGAUUUUAAUCUCUGCUGUGUUUGUGCAGUGUUUGUAUGUUUUACCUGUAGCACUCACUGAAAUCUUGGGACGCUCACUCAAUUCAAUAAAAAUACUGCAAAUGU